AGAGCGAACGCUGGCGGCAGGCCUAAUACAUGCAAGUCGAACGCACCUUCGGGUGAGUGGCGGACGGGUGAGUAACACGUGGGAACGUGCCCUUUGGUUCGGAAUAAUCCGGGGAAACCUGGCCUAAUACCGAAUGUGCCCCCUCCUUUAACCAGGGGGUGGGAAAGAUUUAUCGCCAUUGGAGCGGCCCGCGUCUGAUUAGCUAGUUGGUGAGGUAAAGGCCCACCAAGGCUACGAUCAGUAGCUGGUCUGAGAGGAUGAUCAGCCACACUGGGACUGAGACACGGCCCAGACUCCUACGGGAGGCAGCAGUAGGGAAUCUUGCGCAAUGGGCGAAAGCCUGACGCAGCCAUGCCGCGUGAAUGAUGAAGGUCUUAGGAUUGUAAAAUUCUUUCAGCGGGAAGAUAAUGACGGUACCCGCAGAAGAAGCUCCGGCUAACUUCGCGCCAGCAGCCGC
rnacentral:rRNA from 1 species